rnacentral:rRNA from 1 species
GUGCCAGCAGCCGCGGUAAUACAGAGGGUGCGAGCGUUGUUCGGAAUUAUUGGGCGUAAAGGGCGCGUAGGCGGCGCCACAAGUCACCUGUGAAAUCUCCUGGCUCAACUGGGAGUCUGCAGGCGAAACUGUGGUGCUGGAGUAUGGGAGAGGUGCGUGGAAUUCCUGGUGUAGCGGUGAAAUGCGUAGAUAUCAGGAGGAACACCUGUGGCGAAAGCGGCGCACUGGACCAUAACUGACGCUGAGGCGCGAAAGCUAGGGGAGCAAACAGGAUUAGAUACCCUGGUAGUCCUAGCCCUAAACUAUGGAUGCUUGGUGUGAUCGGUACCCAAUCCGAUCGUGCCGUAGCUAACGCGUUAAGCAUCCCGCCUGGGGAGUACGGUCGCAAGGCUGAA